CACAGCUGGCUGAGCCACAACAAUUUGCAGCAGUUCUGAGACCAGUGCUGAAGCCAAGCCAGAUACUGACACAGAUAAUUGCCUUUCAGGGCAAGGCAGAACAUCCAGAAUGAAGCAUGGAAUUGAGCAGCGUGGAUCUCACAGCACCUCUGCCACUUCCACAAUGCGAUUUCCACGUGGAUGAAGAGCAAACUCUGACAGGAAAGUGUUGACCCUCCUAGGUAAUAAUGCACUGCUGACUGUGAUAGCUCCUGUUCUCUGUAAAAAAAAACAACUUGUGUAUCAAGG